rnacentral:rRNA from 1 species
UUGGCCAUGGGCGCAGCCUGAUCCAGCAUGCCGCGUGGGUGAAGAAGGCCUUCGGGUUGUAAAGCCCUUUCGGUGGGGAAGAAAUCGGCCGGGCGAAUAGUCCGGUCGGAUGACGGUACCCGCAGAAGAAGCACCGGCUAACUACGUGCCAGCAGCCGCGGUAAUACGUAGGGUGCGAGCGUUAAUCGGAAUUACUGGGCGUAAAGGGUGCGCAGGCGGCCCUG